CCUACGGGUGGCAGCAGUAGGGAAUCUUUCACAAUGGGCGAAAGCCUGAUGGAGCAACGUCGCGUGCAGGAUGACGGCCUUCGGGUUGUAAACUGCUUUUAUAAGCGAGAAAUAUGAUGGUAACUUAUGAAUAAGUAUCGGCUAACUACGUGCAAGCAGCGGCGGUCAUACGUAGGAGCCGAGCAUUAUCCGGAGUGACUGGGUGUAAAGAGUUGCGUAGGUGGCAUAAGAAGUAGCUGGGGAAAUGUGGGGGCUCAACAAUUCAGACCGUUGGCGAAACUGUUGAGAGCGAGACCGCUAGAGGUAAGCGGAAUUUGUGGUGUAGCGGUGAAAUGCAUAGAUAUUACACAGAACACCGAUAGCGAAGGCAGUUUACUGGGGCGGUACUGACACUGAGGCACGAAAGCGUAGGGAGCGAACAGGAUUAGAUACCCUAGUAGUC
rnacentral:rRNA from 1 species